GCGGGAUUAGUUGAGCGGCUCAACAUCACCCUUCCAAGGUGAAAAGAGGGGUUCGACUCCCCUAUCCCGCU
rnacentral:tRNA from 1 species